CAAGACUGUACGAUAGUCGUCUCUUUUUUGAGCAGUUGUAGCUAAGAACACAUCAUGAAUGAUGUUUACAAAGAAUUUUGGUUAUUCAAUGUAAUAUGCAUAAUUUGAAAGGUCGUAUACCAAACAAAUGUCUAGCGGUUUUGGAUCAAGACUGUACGAUAGUCGUCUCUUUUUUGAGCAGUUGUAGCUAAGAACACAUCAUGAAUGAUGUUUACAAAGAAUUUUGGUUAUUCAAUGUAAUAUGCAUAAUUUGAAAGGUCGUAUACCAAACAAAUGUCUAGCGGUUUUGGAUCAAGACUGUACGAUGGUCGUCUCUUUUUUGAGCAGUUGUAGCUAAGAACACAUCAUGAAUGAUGUUUACAAAGAAU